GGGUGCUUAGCUCAGUUGGCAGAGCGGCGCUUUUACACAGCGUAGGUCGGCGGUUCGACCCCGUCAGCACCCACCA
rnacentral:tRNA from 1 species